GGGCCAUAGCUCAAUGGUAGAGCACUUGCUUUGUAUGCAAAAGGUCCCAGGUUCUAUCUCUUGCAUCUCUA